GAGUCAUUAAGCAUCCGGUUACCUCAUUUGUACCUUGUGGGUAUGUCACCCAACUACCUUGUUGUCUUCUGCAUAAAAAGUCUGAUGUUCGAUUUGACAAAUUACAUUCAGAUUCCACACAAACUCUCCUGCGUGUGUGUCUGUCUGUCAUUCAUCCACGCUUUGCCCACCCGCGUCGAGAGACCCCGUUCCACGCAGACACAGGGACCCAGAAGGUCUGCGGCACCUGCGCAAGUUCUCCAUGAGGGACUGGGGCAUCGAGCAGAAGUGGAUGUCUGUCCUCCUGGCCCUGCUGCUGCUCUACAAUGACCCUUUCUUCCCACUCUCCUUCUUGGUGAAUAGCUGGUUCCCGGGGAUGCUGGACGACUUCUUCCAGUCUCUGUUCCUGUGUGCCCUGCUGCUCUUCUGGCUGUGCGUGUAUCAUGGGAUACGGGUCCAGGGAGAGAGAAAAUGUUUAACUUUCUAUUUGCCUAAGUUCUUCAUCGUUGGACUGCUGUGGCUGGCUUCUGUCACGCUGGGAAUAUGGCAGACGUGAGUAACGCAACGCUUCUGGGUGUGAAACGUCAGCCCUGGAAAGUGCUGACAACAGAGGGCAGGCUGAAUCUGCCUGCCCUGCCAUCUCACCCAGAAGACAGCUUCUGCCCAGCAUAGUCACAUAACUGGAUCCAAGGAAUUGGGCUUGGCUUGUGUGGCUUGCAGUAAAGGGGUCUUCUAGCCUAAGUAGAAGGUGAGAACGCCUGUGUCAUCGUAACCUUCUUCAGCAAGAAAUGACUCGGUUUGCUGGGACAGCAGACAUGCUGCGAUCCCCUCAUGCACCUCAGACACUCUGAUCCUUGCAGAGCUUCAGGCUUGACCCUGCUUAGAGUCACGUGACCCUGCUUAGACUGCCGUGAUCCUAGUUAGACCCACAUCCCUUUCUGUGACUAACUGCUUCCAGGCCUGUGUAGCACUGCCCAGCUCCUCAGAGACCCUGCUCAGCCCCUGAUCAGCGUGGUUGGUCUGUGGCUUUUCAUGCGUCUUUCGUGCCACCGUGGCCUGAUGCGUUCUGCAGCAUCCCUGCCACAUGCCACUUACUUCCCUGAAGCUCAGGUCCCAUGCCAAUGCUAAUUCUGACAUUUAAGCUCAUGCACUUUAUAGUUACUUAUUAUCUAUUUGGCUUGCUUUGCCUUCGUCUAUCUCACAUGUCUGGGUAUGCCAUUGAAAUAGCCCCUGGGGCUGGAGAGAUGGCUCCGUUAAGCGUACUCUUCCAGAGGACUCAAGUGUACUCCCAGCUCCCAUGUCAGGUGGCUUAGAACCACCUAUGACUCCUCUAGGGGAGCCUACAGCUCUGGGCUCCAGCGUCACCUGCACUCAUGUGCACACAGCACUCACAGAAACACAAUGAGCAAAAGAUAAGCCUUAGCUACAUAAGGCAUAAAUAACCCUGCCCCUUCGCCACACUGAUGAGCAUGGACACAGUAGGCAUGUUCCCUUGCCGGCUUAGUGCUGGAUGCUUUCUCAGUGUAUAAUACAGGAUUGCUAUUUUAAAAUCCUCCAGUGGUUGUACCAAGUGCUAUACAAGCAAAAAAACAAAUGAAAAACCCAAGUUGGGGGAAGUGUGAAGUGUAGAGUAAGUGCUCUUAUUAAUCUGUAUUUUCAACAUCAUCCUUUUAGAUUUAAUGAAUUAAAUGAUCCCAUGUACCAGUAUCGGGUUGACACCGGAAACUUUCAGGGCAUGAAGGUCUUCUUCAUGGUGGUGGCCGCUGUGUACAUUUUAUACCUUCUAUUCUUGAUAGUGCGAGCAUGCUCCGAGCUCCGUCAUAUGCCUUACGUGGAUCUCAGGUUAAAGUUUUUGACUGCGUUGACCUUUGUAGUGCUAGUUAUUAGCAUCGUCAUCCUCUACCUACGGUUUGGAGCACAAGUGUUGCAGGACAACUUCGUAGCAGAACUGUCGGCUCACUACCAGAACUCAGCUGAAUUCCUGUCUUUCUAUGGCCUGUUGAACUUUUACUUGUACACGCUGGCCUUUGUGUACUCUCCGUCGAAGAAUGCCCUGUACGAGUCCCAGCUGAAGGAUAACCCUGCGUUUUCCAUGUUGAACGACUCUGACGAUGACGUGAUUUACGGGCCAAAGGAAAAUGGAUGUCGUCAGAAGCCUUGCUGAAUGUUUCUCUUGGUGGCUCGGGUGCUGCUAGGUGCUACCAUUCUGUGAUCUGUCCUGUGACACAGAACAGGUUAAUUCCAUUGUAUGACAGAGGGAUUGUCUGCUCCUGAAAACUACCUUUUUACAAAUGUCUGUAAAUAUCUGUUAAAUAAAAACACUAGCCUCUAAGUCCAGAAGGAACACCGUUUGACCAUCAGUGCACCAGUGUUGUCUGAGCAGUCAGUCAAGGAAUAAAUGCUUAUUUAUGAAAAACUCAAUAAAAGUCACAUUUUGAGAUUUUGUA
rnacentral:lncRNA from 1 species